AGAGGCUGUGGCUCAAUGGUAGAGCAUCUGCUUGGCGUGUGGAAGGUCCAAGGUUCGAUGCCCUGUAUCUCCA
rnacentral:tRNA from 1 species